UUCUUACUGUUUAGCACAAGUGUGUCCCGCGCAAGUUUGAAUUUCUCUCAGUAAGGACUGACGGACGGCCAUUCACUCAUAAAACCUUUUAAAGCACAAGUGUUUCCCGUGCAAAUUAGAAUUUCUCUCAGUAAGGACUGACGGAUGGCCAUUCACUCAUAAAACCUUUUAAAGGUUAGCACGAAUGCAUCCAGCAUAAUUUUGGAUCUUUACCAUUGAGGAGACUGGCUGACUGUUCUCAACCAACCAUCAUUCACACGCAAAAACUUUAAAGGUAAGUAUGAACGUGUCUAGAGCAGUUUUGGAUCUUUACCAUUGAGGAGGUUGACUGACUUUCAUCUACCAACUGUCAUUAACACAACAAAAACUAAAGAAAUGUUACUACAGGUGGACCUAUUCAGUUACUCAUUAUGCUGUGAGUACACCACAAUUUUAUCAGUGAAACAAUAAUGUUUGUUUUUUCUCAAUGCUUGGCAUAGACAAAUGUGACCCUGUGUAAUUUGGAAAUUUCACGGGAAAUGUGUACGUCUUAAAAAUGUUUAAAUGUCGUUUGAGUUAAGGAACAGUACACUGAUUUAUUAAAAGUGUGCAAUACACUGAGUCUAUUAAAGUCAUAAAGGAAUACUUGAUAUAUUUCAUAAAGGAAUGUGUAAAUCUAAUAUUAGUUUUAAUGUGAAUUUGGACAGAAAAGCAAAAAAAUGUUUGUAAAAUAAACAAUUGUUUAAUAAACUGUAAUAAUUUUACCCUUUUCUGUCAUCAUUUUUUAUACUAAUGUUUGGUUUAAGGCAAUCGGUUUCCUCAAACGGUUUAAG